rnacentral:piRNA from 1 species
CCCAGCGCUUGGGAGGCAGAGGCAGGCAGA